rnacentral:rRNA from 1 species
GAUGAACGCUGGCGGCGUGCCUAAUACAUGCAAGUCGAGCGAACAGAUAAGGAGCUUGCUCCUUUGACGUUAGCGGCGGACGGGUGAGUAACACGUGGGUAACCUACCUAUAAGACUGGGAUAACUUCGGGAAACCGGAGCUAAUACCGGAUAACAUUUGGAACCGCAUGGUUCUAAAGUGAAAGAUGGUUUUGCUAUCACUUAUAGAUGGACCCGCGCCGUAUUAGCUAGUUGGUAAGGUAACGGCUUACCAAGGCAACGAUACGUAGCCGACCUGAGAGGGUGAUCGGCCACACUGGAACUGAGACACGGUCCAGACUCCUACGGGAGGCAGCAGUAGGGAAUCUUCCGCAAUGGGCGAAAGCCUGACGGAGCAACGCCGCGUGAGUGAUGAAGGGUUUCGGCUCGUAAAACUCUGUUAUUAGGGAAGAACAAAUGUGUAAGUAACUGUGCACGUCUUGACGGUACCUAAUCAGAAGGCCACGGCUAACUACGUG